rnacentral:lncRNA from 1 species
AAGUGGUCACAGGCGAGCCUAGGCUAGUUGGACGGGAGGGAAAGUGGUCACAGGCAGGGCUAGUGGGAGGGAAGGGAAGGUGGUGACAGGCAGGGCUAGUGGGGAAGGAAGGGAAGGGUGGUGACAGGCAGGCUAACCGGACGGGUGUUCAC